AGCCAGAGAGCGGAGCAGGUGGGUCCCAGGGCGGCUGCGGCUUUGUGCUUGCUUAGAAGCCACUUUUCGCCACCGCGUUUCCUCUGUGCCAGCUCCCUCCCCACACUGCUCAGCAGCUGCUGCCGGCAGAGGGGAGCUUCCUGCACUUGCUCCUGCCCCUAAUGCCUUUUCUUAACCCUUCGUGUACCUGAUUGCCUUGCUGAUCUUGCAUUACUGGGCAGUCUAAGAGCUCCCCUUUUAAUGCUGCUUGUCGAAGACAGGGACAUAUAGCUGUAGUGUAUUUCCUCUAUUUUUUCUAUCUAUUGAAAGAGGGGGCUCAGGCAAAACCUCCGUUUCCUCUUUGUUAUUUUGGGAAGAGCAGGUGGUAAGGCAAGUGACGUUUCUUCCUCCUUCCCCUUUUUGGGUUCUUCUUUGUAUAAU
rnacentral:lncRNA from 1 species